GAUGAACGCUGGCGGCGUGCCUAAUACAUGCAAGUCGAGCGAACAGAUGAGGAGCUUGCUCCUGACGUUAGCGGCGGACGGGUGAGUAACACGUGGAUAACCUACCUAUAAGACUGGGAUAACUUCGGGAAACCGGAGCUAAUACCGGAUAAUAUAUUGAACCGCAUGGUUCAAUAGUGAAAGACGGUUUUGCUGUCACUUAUAGAUGGAUCCGCGCCGCAUUAGCUAGUUGGUAAGGUAACGGCUUACCAAGGCAACGAUGCGUAGCCGACCUGAGAGGGUGAUCGGCCACACUGGAACUGAGACACGGUCCAGACUCCUACGGGAGGCAGCAGUAGGGAAUCUUCCGCAAUGGGCGAAAGCCUGACGGAGCAACGCCGCGUGAGUGAUGAAGGUCUUCGGAUCGUAAAACUCUGUUAUUAGGGAAGAACAAAUGUGUAAGUAACUAUGCACGUCUUGACGGUACCUAAUCAGAAAGCCACGGCUAACUACGUG
rnacentral:rRNA from 1 species